GAUAUUCCUUUGAGUCCUCUGCAGCUUCCCCCAUGACAAGAUCUUCCUUUGACUCCUCUGCAUUUUUCUCCUUUAUAGCAUUUUCUUCUGAGUCCUCCGCAACUUUCUCCUUGACAAUAUCUUCCUUAAGGUCCUCUGCACCUUUCGGCUUUGCAGUGUCUUUCUUGGGAUCCUGUAGAUCUUUCUCCUUGACAGGAUCUUCCUUUGGGUCCUCGGCAUCUUCCUCCUUGACGUCAACUUCCUCUGUGUCCUCUGUAUCUCCCUCCUUGAUAGAUUCCUUUGAUUCCAGUGCAGCUUCCUCCGUUACAUAAUCUUCCUUCGGGUCCUCUGUAUCUCCCUCCUCGACACAUUCCGUUGAUCCGGCUGCAUCUUUCUCAUUGCCAUGAUCUUCCUUUGAGUCCUUCGCAUCCUUCUCUUCAACAGGAUCUUCGAGCAUUGCCGUUCCAGCAUCUUCUGAUACAAGUGUGUUAUCCGAUGUAGUUUUAGAAGAAGCAGGACUUUUCUUUACCGCCUUCUUCACAGCCCUUCGAGUCGUUUUCCUACCUGAAGCGGAUUUUGCUACUGGUGUUGAUUGAACAGCCCCAUCUGCAUCUGAAGCCUUUGCUUCUUCGGCGGCAGGUGAACUUUUGGAUCCAACAUUCCUAGUUUGCUUAGCCCUAGAUGUCGGCGUACGCUUCGACUCGGCCGGCGGGGUUUGAUUUAUUCCGGCAGACCUCUUUUCGGCGCUUCGAGUUCUCAUAAUUGAUUGAUUCUAUUAAAAGUUGAGAAACGGAAAAUAAAGUGAAGUUUUGUAGAGUCGAUAAUGCAACGGGGAGGCAAUGGAAGCCG
rnacentral:misc_RNA from 1 species